CCUGUGAGGUCAUAAAUGGCUUUCUCCACUGGAGAAAGGACAGGGCCUCCACCCACCACAAACACCCUCUCGCCCGCACUCACCCAGCUGGGGAUUUGCCCAGCUGUUAUUUCUGAGCUGGGGAAACUUUGGGAUUCUUAAAACAAGGAUCACGGAGGGUCUCAGCCCCAAGUAACCCAAAGGUCAAAGGUCAAGUGAAGUGCAUCCCUAACGAGACCGCAGAGCAGAGGGAGGACUCUUUUCCCAGAUCCAGGCAUCCCAUCUUUACUUCCUGGCUGGACACACCUGGCCUCUCUCUCUGGGGAUUGUCCUUCUGCCUGAGGAGUUUUCGCACACAAUGGUUGGCAGACUUCGGCAUUUAUUUUCAUCACCAUUUAAAGAACAGUUUGAAACUGAAAGGUAGAAAAAUCAUCCACUGUGUCACCUGCCAGAGGUAAGCCUUUAUCAACGACUAUCUCAUUCCUUCCACCCCUCCCCCUUUUAUUUAACUGUGCAUACAUUUUCCUUCUAUUUAUUUUACAAAUUAUAAUCUUAAUAUACACCAAAUUUUGCAUUCUGCUUUUUACAAAAACAUUGCAGAAUAAAUCUUAUUUAUGUUUUAUUGCA
rnacentral:lncRNA from 12 species